CUUCUCUUUCUCGGGCCUGUCUACCCUCACUCCCCCAGCAUCUGAAUCAAUGCUUUUGAAAGACUGCCCCCUGCCGGAGACAAGGGGCGAGGACACGCUGGGCCCGGGUGCUCCAGUAGGCGCCAGGGCGCGCGGGAAAGGGAGCCUGCUCUCUGGGGCUCAGAACUCAAGAGAGAAAGAAAAGACAGAGAACAGGCGGUCCCAGUGCACAUUCAGCUAAGAACAUUAUCUCCUCACUCCAUCACCCCUAAAAUUAGCUCCAACACAGAGCACUGUGCCUUGGCACAGAACAGAGCCACUUAAACAGAAGCACAGUCCCCAAUUCCUCAACACUGGAACAACCGCCCAGCCCCAGGCCUGCUGGAGGGGACCUGGCCCUUUCUCAGGAUGGAGAUUCUCCAAGCGUGGUAGGGUGAGGACGCUGAGGCUUAAAAAAGAGAUGCAAACCCGCAUUCUUCGCGGCUGGUCGGUUAUCCCAGCUCUCUCCUCUCUGAGCCAUCCCAGCAAAUCACACCACCGCUUGGCAAUUGUCUACAAGUUAACAGUUUUCAAAGGAUUUUCACUCUUUACCUCCUGUGAUCCCUUUUGCCCACUUGCCCAGCCUUGGGCUCCAGCCAGGGAAAAGAAGGAGGAAGCUGCUCCGACAGCGUGCCCCGACAUCCUUGACACUAUGCAAGACUGGAGGUGCGCACGGUAGCAGUAACCAUCCCAAACUCGCAAGCAUUAUUCUGUGAGUUUGAAGCCAUUUUACAUUUGUUAGACUUUCAACAUCCUUCAUCUAGCCUCCUCCUCUCAUCUUCUCUCCUCUAAAGUGGGCUAUUUUUCUUUAAUUCCCAAAUUCCAAUAGCAGAUGUAAAAGUUAGGGCUAACGCAUCAGAUCACGAACACAAGACUGAUGUGUCCAACAGCAGAAAAAGCUAGUCCAGAAGUUUAAGCACAUGGUCCACUUGACUAACCACCACGUGGGACCCUCAGGGCCCCUGGUCCCCAGGCAAUGGCAGGGACACCAAGGCCAGGUCUACCCUCAAAUCCUUCCCAAUGGCACGACAGACCGCUGGGGGACCAAGACCUACAAUCUAAGAAAAUCAGAUUGGAGCUGGCUAGCCUGGUGGAGGGUGGCUAGCCUAGGUCUGCAAAGGGCACAGGAAAGAUGGGAAGGAGAAAGAACCCCAAAUCCCCCAUGUCGGCAGCAAAGGAGAGACCCUUACUGGUACCACCGAUGGUGUUUCCAUGCCAAAGGCGAGGGGUUGGCGGGGUUCUAAAUUGAAACUUCUAUAUAGACUCGAAGAGGCAGUGCACAAGAGGGUGGGAAAGCUGACGAUCUUCCAGAACGACACUUUGAGAGGCAGGAGGGAAGUAAGGCUUGGGUGGCUGGAAAAAAAAAAUCCAAUCCAGCUAACAAGUCUUUAUGUAGCAUCUCCUAGUUCCUAGCACUAGGAUGCAACAGACCUGGAGUCUGACCGGGAAUGCGAGUAAUGACUGUAUAACAGAGAAGAGAGACGAGGGGCUUUUAAAAAGUUACUCGGAAAUUUUUUUGUUUUUUUUUUUUUUUAAGGCAAAGUGUGAGAGCUGUGGCCAGGGAGCUGCUGCACGGAGGGGCAUGAGCUGAGAAGGGCCUGGCCUGGGACGGGGAGGACAAGCAGUCUCUGCUAAGGAAGGUAUUUCCCGCGGCCGAGCAACUGGGAAGAAGGAGACCCCAAUGACCCAGCACUAAGAUCGCCGGAGCGAAAGGAAACAGAGGUGAGGAGGACCCAGGCGAGGUGCCUGGGUGGAGGGCAAGGCUUCCAUGUUGGCCAAAGUCGUGGAACGCUUGGACCUGGGGAACCGCAAGGCCCAGCUCGUUCCGAGGGGAACCCAAAGGCGCGCUGGGGAGAACUCCGGGAAGCGCGGGGCCCGGCCACCCUAGGACGCUAGGG
rnacentral:lncRNA from 10 species